rnacentral:misc_RNA from 1 species
GAUGAAGAACGCAGUGAAAUGCGAUAAGUAAUGUGAAUUGCAGAAUUCAGUGAAUCAUCGAAUCUUUGAACGCACAUUGCGCCCGCCGGUAUUCCGGCGGGCAUGCCUGUUCGAGCGUCAUUUCAACCCUCAAGCUCUGCUUGGUAUUGGGCUCUGCCGGUCCCGGCAGGCCUUAAAAUCAGUGGCGGUGCCACUCGGCUUCAAGCGUAGUAAUUCUUCUCGCUUCGGAGACCCGGGUGCGUGCUAGCCAGCAACCCCCAACUUUCUCAGGUUGACCUCGGAUCAGGUAGGGAUACCCGCUGAACUUAAGCAUAUCAAUAAGCGGAGGA